rnacentral:rRNA from 1 species
UACGGAGGGUGCAAGCGUUGUUCGGAAUUACUGGGCGUAAAGCGCGCGUAGGCGGUGUGCUAAGUCAGAUGUGAAAGCCCUCGGCUUAACCGGGGACGUGCAUUUGAAACUGGCAGACUUGAGUACUGGAGGGGGUGGUGGAAUUCCCGGUGUAGAGGUGAAACUCGUAGAUAUCGGGAGGAAUACCGGUGGCGAAGGCGACCACCUGGCCAGAUACUGACGCUGAGGUGCGAAAGCGUGGGGAGCAAACAGG